GACGAACGCUGGCGGCGUGCUUAACACAUGCAAGUCGAACGAAGUGGCGAACGGGUGAGUAAUACGUGAGUAACCUGCCCUCCUUUUUGGGAUAAGCCUUGGAAACGGGGUCUAAUACCGGAUAAAGGGGGAUGGGCUCGCGGCCUGUCAGCUUGUUGGUGGGGUGAUGGCCUACCAAGGCGGUGACGGGUAGCCGGCCUGAGAGGGGGACCGGCAACGUGGGGAGUGAGAGACGGCCCAGACUCCUACGGGAGGCAGCAGUGGGGGAUAUUGCACAAUGGGCGCAAGCCUGAUGCAGGGACGCCGCGUGGGGGAUGAAGGCUUUAGGGUUGUAAACCUCUUUCGGUACAGAACGGGUAUGUGCAGAAGAAGCGCCGGCUAACUACGUGCCAGCAGCCGCGGUAAUUC
rnacentral:rRNA from 1 species